GUCCACGCCGUAAACGAUGGAUACUAGCUGUUGGGCGCAAGUUCAGUGGUUAAGCGAAAGUGAUAAGUAUCCCACCUGGGGAGUACGAACGCAAGUUUGAAACUCAAAGGAAUUGACGGGGGCCCGCACAAGCGGUGGAGCAUGUGGUUUAAUUCGAUGAUACGCGAGGAACCUUACCAAGGCUUAAAUGUAGAUUGACCGUUUUGGAAACAGAAACUUUCGCAAGACAAUUUACAAGGUGCUGCAUGGUUGUCGU
rnacentral:rRNA from 1 species